UAGCUUAGACUUACAUACCCUAGGGUAUA
rnacentral:sRNA from 1 species